GCCCUUUCGACUGACUGGUGGGACUAAAGAUUAUGUUGUUGCUGGUUCUGACUCUGGUAGAAUUGUUAUUCUAGAAUACAUCCCAGCUAAAAACAUGUUUGAAAGGAUCCACCAAGAAACAUUUGGUAAAAGUGGUUGCAGAAGAAUAGUUCCUGGACAGUAUCUAGCUGUUGAUCCUAAAGGAAGAGCUGUUAUGAUUGGUAAAUAAAAAUAAGAUUGACUAGAUUAAGUUAAUUUAUGAAGCACAAAUAAAGUUUGACUAGAUUAAGUUAAUUUAUGAAGCACAUAUAAUGUUGUACAUAAUUUAACAAUUUCUGAGUAAUUUUUGUAAUACUGUUGUAAAUUGUUCAAUGUAAAAUUGCUUUGUACUGGGCCUUCUAACUUCCAUCAAGAUCUUAAGUAUCCUAGACACUUUUCUCUAAUUCUUGUAUAGCCUUUUCUAUCUUCCUGAGCUCAUUGAGCCAUUACUACUGGUCACCUUUUGUAGUCCCAUCCCAGACAUGCCUACAGUCCCGCAUUAUGCGGAACCGUCCCGCAAAAGCAUCAAAAAAGCUCACAUGUUCCGCCGUUCCGCAUUCACGAUUUUUUGUUCCGCCAAGUCUGAAU
rnacentral:sRNA from 1 species